ensembl:lncRNA
GCCACGCUGAAAUGCAAUCCACGUGCACAAGGACACACCCGGUAACUUACAAGGGUGAUCGCCAUUCAUCGACAUCCGCACGUGAAUACGAAGAAAUUCAGCGUUUACACAACUUUACUCAUAUAUUUACACGCAACUUCACUACAAGGUUGACGAAUAAGACCAAAUUUGACUUUCAGGUUUAAUAAAUUAUAAUUCAGUGGUGGAAUGAACGUCCAACCUCAAUCCGGACCGCAGAACCUGCCGCCAUUUUCAAAAAACAGCUGCAGACCCACCUCUUCCAUGAGCACUUAACUAACCCCUACCAUUCCAACCCCACAUUAUUAAAAAUAAUAAUAAUAAUAAUUACUCUGGCUCUUACACCUCGACUCUGCGCACAUAAAUGUUGUACGGUAGCACCACUCGUAUUGUUCUCCGCUGGAUAUAUCGCUUUGCUUGUAUUUCCUCAUUUGUAAGUCGAUUUGGAUAAAAGCGUCCGUGAAACGAAUGAAUGCAAAUGUAAAUAAUGUAAAUGCAAAUGUAAAUAAAGAUGAUAAAUUAAUCAAAUUUGCAUUACCCCCGCCCACACUUUUAGACUUUACGCCCCAAAAUAGGUGUGUAAAAUAUAUGUGUAAAACAGAUGUGUAAAACAGGUGUGUAAAAUAGAUGUGUAAAAUAGGUGUGUAAAAUAGAUGUGUAAAACAGAUGUGUAAAACAGGUGUGUAAAAUAGAUGUGUAAAAUAGGUGUGUACAAUAGGUGUGUAAAACAGGUGUGUAAAACAGAUGUGUAAAAUAGGUGUGUAAAAUAGGUGUGCAAAAUAGGUGUGUAAGAUAGGUGUGUAAAAUAGGUGUGUAAGAUAGGUGUGUAAAACAGGUGUGUAAAAUAGGUGUUUAAAACAGGUGUGUAAAAUAGAUGUGUAAAAUAGAUGUGUAAAAUAGGUGUGUAAAAUAGGUGUGUAAAAUAGAUGUGUAAAAUAGGUGUGUAAAAUAGGUGUGUAAAAUAGAUGUGUAAAAGAGGUGUGUAAGAUAGGUGUGUAAGAUAGGUGUGUAAAAUAGGUGUGUAAAAUAGAUGUGUAAAAUAGGUGUGUAAAACAGAUGUGUAAGAUAGGUGUGUAAAAUAGAUGUGUAAAAUAGGUGUGUAAAAUAGGUGUGUAAAAUAGAUGUGUAAAAUAGGUGUGUAAAACAGAUGUGUAAGAUAGGUGUGUAAAAUAGGUGUGUAAAUAGGUGUGUAAGAUAGGUGUGUAAAAUACGUGUGUAAAAUAGGUGUGUAAAAUAGAUGUGUAAAAUAGAUGUGUAAAAUAGGUGUGUAAAAUAGAUGUGUAAAAGAGGUGUGUCGUUUUGCUCAUGUGAAAGAUAAGACCUGUCUGUAAAUCAGCUCGUACAUUCGGACAGGUUAAUCCUGUCAGUUAUUCCCAGUGUUUUAUGUCAUGGAUUUCUAUAAGAUGGUCCCUGAAGGUUUAAAAGCCAAAGUGCUGAUAAGAAAUAAAAUGACUGUUACUAAAGAAACACUUAAGUGAAAGUAAAAAGACGCCUUAAUGUUAAACUUCACAGCUCAGUCUCCAUGCCUCGUUAGAGAUUACUUUCAGUCACAUCCCAAACUCAGAGAUUCCAUUCUAACAAGACUCGGGUGCGUUUCACCCAUAAUGCACUGCGAGCACACAUCAGACUUAACACUGAGUGUGUCUGACCCUGUUACCCCACCCCCUUUACUAAACACUCCCAGUGCAUUUCACAAAAAACACACAUCUGUCACAGUGUGUAACGGCCAAUCAGAAACAGGAGUGUGUGUGUGUGUGUGUGUGUGUGUGUGUGCGUGUGUGUGUGUGUGUGUGUUCUAUAUAAACUGCUAUAUUUUAUAUUACUUGAAUACAUAAAUUUUUGUUAUUUAUUUGGUGUAUAUUAUUUUUAUACUGUAUAGCCUUACAAUACAACUUUUGAUAUUAUAUUAUUUAUUAUUGUUUAUUUACGUAGAAUCUAUUUAUUCACGGUAUUUAUAUUUAUUUAAUUGUGUAUUUCAUUCAUCUCAUUUCUAAGUAAUCACCGUAAUAAGACUGUUUUUAUAAUACAGCUGUAAGAUACACUAUAAUAUAAUAAUUUGUAUAAUAACUUAUAAUUUACUAUUUAUUUAUUUGCAAACACAACACAGGUUUAUUUGUGUUAUAAAUAUAUAUAUUUGUUUAACAAAUAUAUAUUUGUUAAAUAUAGGUGUGCAACAAUUAUUGGCACCCUUUUAGUCAAUGCUUUGUGCUAGCUCCCUUUGCCGAGAUAACAGCUCUGAGGCUUCUCCUAUAACGCCUGACGAGGUUGGAGAAUACAUGGCGAGGGAUCUGAGAGCGUUCCUCCAUACAGAACCUCUCCAGAUCCUUCACAUUUCAG